AUGCACUUUCUUCCCCGUCUUUCACUCUUCUUCCUCCUCUCUUCUUCUUCCUCCUCUCUUCCCCAUCGCCGGCCGCACACCAUUUCCCCCCGCUCUCUGCUCGCCCGCCCGCGCUAUCUUCCUUGUUGCAGCAGACGCAAAUGCGCCGGCCUUCAUGAUUCCAGGACCUGGAAUCAUACCAGCCGAUGGGUGGUGUACCAUAUAACUGGAAUUAACCCAUGCAAGUCGAAGAAGGAUUGGCUGGUGCUGCCGGCUGGUGUCAAGUUCGAUCCCACGGAUCAGGAGCUGAUCGAGCACCUUGAGGCCAAAGUGAGUGCUGGCAGCGCGAGAUCUCACCCUCUCAUCGAUUUGUUCAUACCAACCAUCGACAGCGAGCAUGGCAUAUGCUACACCCAUCCUCAGAAACUUCCAGGUAUCACACUGAGGGGCCUAAGCAAGCAUUUCUUCCAGCGCAAUUCCAGGGCGUUCAAAAGGGGCACGUGGACGCGUAGCAAGAUACAGUUGGAGUGCGGCAUGCACGCGAUGUGGCACAACACCGGCAAUACCUUGCCGGUGAUGGUCAACGGCCAGCAGACGGGCAGCAAAAAGGUUCUGGUGCUGCACACCAACAAGAACUUCGACCAGCAGAGGACCAACUGGGUGAUGCACCAGUACCACCUCGGGGACCUGGAGCAAGAGAAGGAGCAGAGCUGGUCCUCUGCAAGAUUUUCUACCAGACGAACACUAGGGCCAGGAGUAAAAAGAUUAUAA
rnacentral:rRNA from 1 species